AAGUCCCGUAACGAGCGCAACCCUUGUCAUUAGUUGCUACGAAAGGGCACUCUAAUGAGACUGCCGGUGACAAACCGGAGGAAGGUGGGGAUGACGUCAAGUCCUCAUGGCCCUUAUGGGUAGGGCUUCACACGUCAUACAAUGGUACAUACAGAGGGCCGCCAACCCGCGAGGGGGAGCUAAUCCCAGAAAGUGUAUCGUAGUCCGGAUCGUAGUCUGCAACUCGACUACGUGAAGUUGGAAUCGCUAGUAAUCGCGGAUCAGCAUGCCGCGGUGAAUACGUUCCCGGGUCUUGUACACACCGCCCGU
rnacentral:rRNA from 1 species